GAUGAACGCUGGCGGCGUGCCUAAUACAUGCAAGUCGAGCGAACAGAUGAGGAGCUUGCUCCUCUGACGUUAGCGGCGGACGGGUGAGUAACACGUGGAUAACCUACCUAUAAGACUGGGAUAACUUCGGGAAACCGGAGCUAAUACCGGAUAAUAUAUUGAACCGCAUGGUUCAAUAGUGAAAGACGGUCUUGCUGUCACUUAUAGAUGGAUCCGCGCUGCAUUAGCUAGUUGGUAAGGUAACGGCUUACCAAGGCAACGAUGCAUAGCCGACCUGAGAGGGUGAUCGGCCACACUGGAACUGAGACACGGUCCAGACUCCUACGGGAGGCAGCAGUAGGGAAUCUUCCGCAAUGGGCGAAAGCCUGACGGAGCAACGCCGCGUGAGUGAUGAAGGUCUUCGGAUCGUAAAACUCUGUUAUUAGGGAAGAACAUAUGUGUAAGUAACUAUGCACGUCUUGACGGUACCUAAUCAGAAAGCCACGGCUAACUACGUG
rnacentral:rRNA from 1 species